UGUAAUUUGCAGAGGAUGUUUCUGGCGACGCGCCUUCCGAGUUCCCUGGAACGGGACGCCAUAGAGGGUGAGAGCCCCGUACGGUUGGAUGCCUAGCCUCUGUGAAACUCCUUCGAC
rnacentral:rRNA from 1 species